UUUCAGGUCACCCUGCUGAAGGACAGAGAAGUGACCAGCAGAUGAUGUUAUAAUCUGGUGUUGGCUGGAAGAUAGCUUAGAGGACCUGCAGAUGGGAAGUGUGGGGAUGCUGGAUUUGGGUUGUGAAUCAACACAGGCUGAGAUAAUGGGCUUCUCUUCCCCCUGCAAUGACCUGAGACUUGGGCUGAGGCUCGCCGUUCUGGGAGCUGAGGGAAAAAACCCUGUAAGUUACAGGCACACCUCGAGUCUUGGCUCUGAGCACAGAGAGUGUGGCUUUGUCAUGGGAGAAAGGGGUUGUCUGUCCCCCUCCUGCUGGGCUGAAGGUGCCCGAGUGGUAUGCAGAUUCCUGUCACCGUGGCUGAGUGUCUCUGGGACACAUGCAGGAGGUGACAGUGCUAGAUCCCAGCAGCCAUGAAUUGUCUCCAGCCUUGGGAGGCGUGGGGCGCUCGAGCUGUGACUGGAGCUUAGAGAUCCAUUGCUGAGCAUGUGGGACGUACAGGAGCAGGGCUUGGGAUGAGGGUGCUAAAAUUAACUCCCGUGUUCUUCCCUAAAAUGGCUUUAUUUACUUCUGCAGGAGGAGAAAGUGAGGAACUCACCAGCCCUUGUUUACCGUCUGGUUUCAAAUCUGGGUGGCAGCAUGCUGAGAUAGUGUACGAAAUCAAA
rnacentral:lncRNA from 1 species